GACGAACGCUGGCGGCGUGCUUAACACAUGCAAGUCGAACGGUAAGGCCCUUCGGGGUACACGAGUGGCGAACGGGUGAGUAACACGUGGGUGAUCUGCCCUGCACUUCGGGAUAAGCCUGGGAAACUGGGUCUAAUACCGGAUAGGACCACUGCCUGCAUGGGUGGUGGUGGAAGGCUUUUGCGGUGUGGGAUGGGCCCGCGGCCUAUCAGCUUGUUGGUGGGGUGAUGGCCUACCAAGGCGACGACGGGUAGCCGGCCUGAGAGGGUGACCGGCCACACUGGGACUGAGAUACGGCCCAGACUCCUACGGGAGGCAGCAGUGGGGAAUAUUGCACAAUGGGCGCAAGCCCGAUGCAGCGACGCCGCGUGAGGGAUGACGGCCUUCGGGUUGUAAACCUCUUUCAGCACCGACGAAGCGCAAGUGACGGUAGGUGCAGAAGAAGGACCGGCCAACUACGUGCCAGCAGCCGCCGCCG
rnacentral:rRNA from 1 species